GCAGCUAAAGAGAUGUCCACGGAUCAAGAUAUUAUGACUACAUGACUUAUACAGUCAAAAGAGAACAGAUCUUACACCACUAGAGAAAAAGCCACGAGACGUCCGACAUGAAACAAUGUACUGAGACUUUAAUACCGCCCCAAAUAUGGAAACCUCAGACUAGGUAAGAUCUGGGAAGGCAAGUGAGAUCUCUCCUUCCUCCGUAUUGGUUCCUGCAACCUCCACACCCAGUACAUCUAAAGGUGGAGUACAGGGAAAGGCAAAGACUCAGCACAAGAAUUGUGAAGGUCACCAAGAGCGAAAAGUCCAACAUAAGAACAAAAAGACAGCUAUAGCAAAAGGGUUGCCGUCAACAGAUGAACAAUCCUUCUUUUUUCCCCUACAGUCUAAAACAAGCCAGAAAGCAAGAUCUUGUGAACAACGACUACAAUGGGAGAUAGGAAACAGAAAGGAGAAACUUGAAUCUGUCGGCAAAAUUCGAUUUUUCCCCUAGGAACUACGAGGGGCGACGCUACCGUUUCUUGCAUCACCGGCCUCCAUCGAGACGGCGAGAGCAAAUCCUUACCUACACAAAGAGGAGAGAAAAUGUUUCCAGAAAGUCGCAGAGAGAGAAGAGAAAGGACCAGUCAAACAGUGGUUUCGUUAGUCCCGCACAGUGCGCAGGAAAUGCAUGUACCCGCCGUGCUCGCCUCCUCUAUCCGACCCAAAUCUGGUCCGAUUCUCGACGAGGGAACAGACGGACGGUCGCCUCCCGCACCUCAAAAGUCGCGCUCUUCCUUUCAAAGCUCAACUGAUACAGCUUGUUCUGCUCCCCAAACUUUCCCCCAACCCUCACAAGAAACCACAGAAAGCAAUAAUUUCUCCAGACGCGGUGCAAGAAAGAUACAGUUCGACUGAGAAACGUCUGUACAAGCAAUUACUUCGCAACCGGCCUUGGAAAUCAUCCGCUGCGUUGUACACUCACGCAACAUCUGACACGCACAAACAGAAAGAGAAGGAAGAAACGAGAGACGAACAGCUGCAGCAAACCUAAUAAUAAUAAUGAAUAAAUGUCAAAAAACACGCUCGAGAUAAAGAUCUCAUCUUUUGUAUCUUUUUCCCUUUCAUCACUAAGAGGCGACGGAGGGUGGAGCUCAUGAUGAUAAUAAAGGUUGACAGGAAGAGACGUGAGCACGCAACGGAAACAGCAUCGUAUCAUACCAUUGUCCUCCGCCCUGUGCUCACUCUCUUCUGUCAACCAUUCGUUUUCUCAUUCUCCUUAAGUCUCAUUUCUUGACCUAAAAUCUCGAUCUUUCUUUCCCUUUUGUUUCCCCUCCACACAAGGAAUUCCACCCCAAAGCCUCCCUUGUCAGAUCUGAAUCCUGUCAAUAGUCACAUCGCAAAAGAAAUAGAAAGAGAGAGGAUCGUCACGACAGCAGCAGAAGCCGCAGGAAGCCGCAGGCAAGAAGAACUCGCUCAUCUUGUCGUUAUAAAGGGUGGGGAAGAAGGGAAGGCGGUGACGGGACUCGAGCUCUCUCCAUCUAAUUAGAUGAUUAGAGGGACGUAACUAAGAUAUUAGCGGAGAGGAUUACGAGGCGAAUGAGGUCAUUAAGCCGUUGUCGAGAGGGCAUUGGUGGAAACCUCUCGUGGUGUCGGGUACUACUUGCGAUUUGACCCAUUGUACUCGUGGCGGCUGCAGGAGGAUGAUGACGUGGGGCCCUUUGGGAAUCCAUCGAUGAGAGACGCUGAUGGGGACGACGUACUGGUACCCGC
rnacentral:lncRNA from 1 species